AGUCAUAUGCUUGUCUCAAAGAUUAAGCCAUGCAUGUCUAAGUUCAUGCCGUAUUAAGGCGAAACCGCGAAUGGCUCAUUAAAUCAGUUAUGGUUCCUUGGAUCGUACUUUACUACUUGGAUAACUGUGGCAAUUCUAGAGCUAAUACAUGCAGCAGAGCUCCGACGCCCCUCGGGGCGGACGAGCGCUUUUAUUAGACCAAAACCGAUCGGGGUUUACUCCGUUUCGCGUGGUGACUCUGAAUAACUUUGGGCCGAUCGCACGGGCUUCGUCCCGGCGACGUAUCCUUCAAGUGUCUGCCUUAUCAACUGUCGACGGUAGUUUAAUCGCCUACCGUGGUUUUUACGGGUAACGGGGGAUCAGGGUUCGAUUCCGGAGAGGGAGCCUGAGAAACGGCUACCACAUCCAAGGAAGGCAGCAGGCGCGCAAAUUACCCACUCCCGGCACGGGGAGGUAGUGACGAAAAAUAACGAUACGGGACUCUUUCGAGACCCCGUAAUCGGAAUGAGUACGCUCUAAAUCCGCUAACGACGAACCAUUGGAGGUAAAGUCUGGUGCCAGCAUCCGCGGUAACUCCAGCUCCAAUAGCGUAUAUUAAAGUUGUUGCGGUUAAAAAGCUCGUAGUUGGAUCUGAGUCUCUGCCCGGCGGUCUGCCCCUUCCCGGGGCAGCCUACUGCCGCGACUGCGGGACGUCUGCCGGCUUCCGCCGAUGAUCUUCACCGGUUGUCGGUGGCAGGCCGGCGAGUUUACUUUGAAAAAAUUAGAGUGCUCAAAGCAGGCGCGACGCCUGAAUAAUGGUGCAUGGAAUAAUGGAAUAGGACCUCGGUUCUAUUUUGUUGGUUUUUAGGAACGCGAGGUAAUGAUUAAGAGGAACGGACGGGGGCAUUCGUAUUGCGACGCUAGAGGUGAAAUUCUUGGACCGCCGCACGACGAACUACUGCGAGAA
rnacentral:rRNA from 1 species